GUGGAUAUUUGAUUCAUCUGACAUGAAUAUCCAUGUCUGAUUUUUUGCUUUGUUCGGUAUGGUAACACUAUUCAUUUCACUAUGAUGAAACAACACAGCGUCGCUUCUGUUCAGAUCAGCUAUGUUGUUUAAUAAUUCACAAUGAUUAAAUGCACAGUUUCGAAAUUUGUAUUUGUACAAAUAUGCCGCUAUCCAAAAUGUUUUUGUAUACCAUAACACAGUAAAAAUCUUUGUGAAUUCCUUCUUAUUUGUCGUCAUUUCAU
rnacentral:lncRNA from 1 species